UACGUAGGGUGCGAGCGUUGUCCGGAAUUAUUGGGCGUAAAGGGCUCGUAGGCGGUUUGUCGCGUCGGGAGUGAAAACGCCGGGCUUAACUCGGUGCUUGCUUUCGAUACGGGCAGACUAGAGGCAUGCAGGGGAGAGCGGAAUUCCUGGUGUAGCGGUGAAAUGCGCAGAUAUCAGGAGGAACACCGGUGGCGAAGGCGGUUCUCUGGGCAUGUCCUGACGCUGAGGAGCGAAAGUGUGGGGAGCGAACAGG
rnacentral:rRNA from 1 species